rnacentral:rRNA from 1 species
AGUGAACGCUGGCGGUAGGCCUAACACAUGCAAGUCGAACGGCAGCACAGUAAGAGCUUGCUCUUACGGGUGGCGAGUGGCGGACGGGUGAGGAAUACAUCGGAAUCUACUUUUUCGUGGGGGAUAACGUAGGGAAACUUACGCUAAUACCGCAUACGACCUACGGGUGAAAGCAGGGGAUCUUCGGACCUUGCGCGAUUGAAUGAGCCGAUGUCGGAUUAGCUAGUUGGCGGGUAAAGGCCCACCAAGGCGACGAUCCGUAGCUGGUCUGAGAGGAUGAUCAGCCACACUGGAACUGAGACACGGUCCAGACUCCUACGGGAGGCAGCAGUGGGGAAUAUUGGACAAUGGGCGCAAGCCUGAUCCAGCCAUACCGCGUGGGUGAAGAAGGCCUUCGGGCUGUAAAGCCCUUUUGUUGGGAAAGAAAAGCAGCAGGUUAAUACCCCGCUGUUCUGACGGUACCCAAAGAAUAAGCACCGGCUAACUUCGUG